GUCCUCUUGCAUGGGGAUACAAAACUACCGUUCACUUUACGUCGACGACAAUUCCCUAUCAGAUUGUGUUAUGCAAUGACAAUCAACAAAAUCCAGGGACAAAGCUUAAAAGAGGUUAUCCUAUAUCUUCCUAGACCGGUUUUCGCACAUGGUCAACUGUACGUGGCCCUCUCACGUGUAACAAGCAAAGCAGGACUAAAAAUCAUCAAAGGCGAAGACUCACACAAACAAAAAGUGAAGAACAUAGUCUACAAAGAAAUCUUCAACCGCCUUCACUCCCAUGAGAUAUUCGAGGUACCACCAGAAAUGAAUCAGAAUUAAAACUUCUUCCCUGAUGAUGGAUACCUCACUACUUCCAAGCUCUCCAACACGAGAAUAUCCAUCACAUCUAUCAUCAUAUUCGUCAAAAAGUCC